UCUGCAGUGGAAAGUUGACACGAUCCCAUUUAAUCGUCACAGUUCCACGAAGUCACUAGAUUCCUCGCCUCACUUUUCAGAUGAGGAAACAGGCUUAGCAGGAAUGAUACCAGCUUGAGGUCCCGUAGCUGUCCCUCGCUCAGCACUCCACGAAAAGGACGAGAGCAGAGAUAUGAAGUUCUACUGGGCCCAGCAUGAGGACACUUGGUUUUGGGCGAUGCCUCUUCAGAGUUGUGUGACCAGGGACAAGUCACGUGUCCUCGUGAAACUUAUCUCCAAAACAGACACAGGACUGUGUGUAUGCAGGGGAGCUGCUCAUGGCAGAGGACACCACUGUUAAUAGCAUCUGCUGCAUGCUCAUCAUUCUGUACACUCAGCUGUCCACGUUGCUGCUACUGUCCCCAUCUCAUAGGUGAGGAGACGGGGCUGGGAAGAAGUGAUAUGUGUGUUAACACCACGCAGGUGACCAUACCUUUGAUUUUGCCCUCCAUACCCAGAGUCUCACUAUGUACUUCAAGCUGGGCUUGAAUUCCCUAUGAACCCUGGGCUGGCCUCAUACUCAUGGUGAUCCUCCUGCCUCAGCCUCCCAAGUGCUAGGAUUGCAGGCAUGCACCGCCACAGUUGGGAGAGAUCUCAGGCCAAAUGUUACCUCCUUCUGAAAGCCUCCCAGUCCCUUUCCAGAGGACCUAAUGGCUUCCCCUUUCUUCCUGUUCAUCCCAGCAUCAGACUCUCUUCCUACUGUCCAGAAAGGCUAGGACCUGAGCUGCUGGGGCCAAGACUUCCUCCUUCUCCUCUUCCUGAUCCUGGCAGCCAGCACGGUGCCUGAAACACAGGAGAUGUUCAGUAAAUGCUGGAGGGAAGGAGGGCAAUACAAGAAGAUACUGGAAAGGAAAACAUGAAAGAUGUGAAUGACUUUGGUUGUCUGGGGGCAGAGGAUGCUCCCAAAGUGGGGAGGCUGGGGAGGAAAGUAGCAUUGGCCUUAGAGGAACUUGGAAGUUUUUUGCUCAAAACUGAGGGAGGGUGAGAUGAGCUUUGACGCAUUUUCAGACAAUAACAAAGACUCCUAACUAGUGGCUUAAGGAAGAGCAGUGUUCUCUCAGUGAGGAGGUGGGCAGUCCAGGCUAGGGUGGGCCCUCAGUCCCCAGGGACCUGGGUUCUGCAGUCUUCAGCUUUGCACUCAACCUGGAAGCUUUAUACUCCUAAGAGGCUGCUUGAGCCCAGCUAUCAUCACCUUGUGCCAGGCACCAGGAAGGGGGAGGAAAAGGGGACUCAUUCCCUUUAGUGGGUCUUCCUGGAACCCACACUACUCCUGGCUUAUUCCGUACAAUCUUGUCACAGGGCCACACUUAGCUGCAAGAGAGGUGAGAAAUGUAAUGCUUAGCUGGGCACACUGCUGUGUGCUGUCAUAGACUGAAUUGUGUACCCCUCCUAAAUUCAAGGGAAGCUCUGUUCCACAAUGCACCUGUAUUUAGGAAAGGGCCUCUAGGGAGGGAAUUAAGGUUAAAUGAGGUCAGAAGGGCAGGACUCUAAUCUGGAGGAUUUGUGACCUUGUAAAAGGGAGAGACAUCCCCACACACACACCCCGUGUACAGAGGACAGGCCCUGUGAGAAGACAGUAAGAAGGUGGCCAUCUACAAACUAGGAGGAGGACACUUGCCAGAAACUCAAGCAGCCAGCACCUUGAUCUUGACUUCAGAACCGUAAGGAAGAAAUUCCCAUGUUCCAGGCCCUGAGUCUGUGCUGUUUAGCUUUGCGACUCAAGUGAGCUAAUGCAGAGGGCUCUCUGACUAACAGGGUGAGAACCUGGGAGCCAGGAAAGAUUGGCAGUACCACUGUAACCCACCAGUAGGACCACCCAGAACCAGAGUUGGUGGCCUUCCAUCGGGUCCCCAGGCCUUGGUACUGAGCUAUAACCUCAGAUCGUUUAAAUUUUUAAAUUUUGAGACAAAGGCUCACUAGAUCAGUCAGACUGGACUAGAAAUUAUGAUCCUCUUGCCUCAGCCUCCCAGAGUGCUGGGUUUAUAAGUGUUGUGGCUUAUAUCUGAUGUUUCCCCAAAGCCUCCUGCACUCAUAGGUGGGGCUUUUGGGAGAUGAUUGGAUCAUGGGAACUUGAUAUUUAUCAGUGGAUUUGUCCACUCAUGACUUUAUAGCUAACUGUGAUGUUGGGAGGUGGAGCCUAGUGGGAGAAGGUGGGUUAUUGGGGGUGUGGGUGGAAAGGUCUGUCUCCCUCCUCCUCCCUUGAUCCCUCUCUGCUUCCUGCCUCCAUGCCAUGAGCUGUAUUUCCUCUGCUACACCACUCUGUAAUGGAGACAGCUGACUAUGGACUGAAACCUCUACAAACUGUGAGCCAAAAUACACCUUUCCUCCUUUAACUUGAGGGAGUUGGGUAUGGUAUCUCAGCAAUGAGAAGGUAACUAAAACAACUGGCAUGUGCCACCAUGCCUGGCUUAAACCACAGAUUCUUGAUAAAGUGACCAAGGUAGUGCCUGGUAAGCCCUCAGAAGUCAUAAUUCAAUGUUGGUACAAUUUUUAGAUGUCUAUAGAUACAUAAUGCAGUGCUGUAGAGUGGGAUUCAAAAGUAACUUUUAUUUCUAUAAAGAAAUUUGGUUGGAGACACAUUCACUUUAGCCCUGUCCUCCCCCAACACACACAAUACCAUGCUGGGAAGAAGAGAUUUUUUUCUUUUCUUUUCGAGACAGCGUCUUGUCUCACUAUGUAACCCAUUAUGUUGGUUACUUUUUCUCUUGUUGCUGAGACAAAAUACCUGACACUCAAAGUUAAAGGGGAAAGGGUUUAUUUGGCUUACAGUUCCUAGAGGUUUCAGUACAUAGUUGGCUGGCUCCAAGGCAGGGUGGCAGAAGGGCCACAGUUCAUGGCAGCAGAAGACAACAAAAGCAACAAGAGCCCUUCACAGCAUUUUUCUGCCCCUUUUAUCUCAUUCAGACUACUUAGGGCAGGUAGGAUUCACACCCUUCAUCCUAGUGCCCUCAGGCCUAGCCCCACCCUGAAUCAAUCACACACUCUAGAUUCAGCCACCUCUGAAAAAGCAUGAGGCUUUGAGGGGACAGCAAAACACAAGCCAGAACACCCAGGUUGCCCUCAAACUUGAGAUCUUCCUGCCUUAGCCUCCCAAGCGCUGGGAUUAGAGGUGUGUAUCACCAUGCCUGAAUGGGAUCUUCUUUUUUUUAAAAAAGAAAAAGCUGAGUAGAAAGACAACAGUCUUGUAAAGCGCCCCACCACCCCUUCUAUGUCAUCAAUCAAAAACCAAAUACAGCUGCCACCUGAAAACACAGUCAGACCUUUGCCCAAACUACUAUGGGCUGACCUUGCCUUAAAUACUGAGAGUGUACACGACAGAAAGAAAACACACUCAGAUGGGCCAGUUUUGAUCCUGCCUCUUCCCACCUACACAGUGCAGAGCCGCUGCGACACAGGAGGGACCUUGGGAAAAGAGAAGAGAGAUAUCUAAGAAUUAGUAGUGUGGAGAAAGCAGGGACAGGAAUGCCACAGGUCCCUCGGGAGGAAGGAGAGAGAAACCACAGCCUUUUACAGAGAAUCCAAUGACAGCUGUGGCCUCUCCUCCUAGAAAGGAGGAUGGAUGGAUAUACACAUGGGCACAGUAAUUUCAGGUAGCU
ensembl:lncRNA